UAUUGUGUCGCAUUUAGGGUCCUUCCAAGAACCCUAAAUCUUCGAGGGGGAAAAUGGCGGAAGGCGAGGAUGACAGCGCGAGCUCCAGCAGCGGUCUCGGCCUCUCCUCGUCCGAUUCAGAGAAGGAAUCGAAGGCGCCGGUAGAGUCUCCAGCUCCAGCGGCGAUUCCAAAGAGAAAAAAGGCUUCAAAGAAAGGAGACUUGAGCUUCGCGGACUUGGCAAAACACGGGUACUCCAGUGGGCCAUCAGUUUUAAAUGUUCCAGCUCCGAAUCGCAAUGCCAACUUUGAGAGCAAUUGGUCGUGGUCUGGUGGGAUGCGAAAGACCGACGAAGAGAGGCAAGCCGAAGAGGCCGAAAAUAUUGAUGAGCGGGAGCGAACUCGAGAGAUUGUCAACACUGGCGCCGAAAAGUUCGCUGAAAAUACUUUCAACGAGUACCAAUUCGCAAAGAAGCAACGCCGGGACGCUGCAGCGGAGCAACGGGCUCAAACUUUCUCCAAGAAAGAAAAACGAAAGAGAGACCUCGGUCAGGCGAGCAGGGGGAAGAGCUACGUUGAGGAAGAGAAACGCUUGCUGCGGGACCGUGGCGUUUACUCUGGAUUCGACUAAAGGCCGUUUGGAAAGAGAUCAUCCUCACCAUCAGAAAAAACCAAUCGGCAAGAGAGUCAACCACAGGCUCUCCGAUGAUUGGUUUGACAUACCUUUAGUCGCAAAACUGUAAUGUUAAUCUCUAAACACGAAGGAUUCGUGCAUGUAAGUGUCUAGAUCUUAAACUAAUCAAGUUUGUUUUUGUUUC